UACGUAGGGUGCAAGCGUUAAUCGGAAUUACUGGGCGUAAAGCGCGUGUAGGCGGCCGAUUAAGUCUGGUGUGAAAGCCCGGGGCUCACCCCCGGAAGUGCGCUGGAAACUGGUCGGCUAGAGUAUGGGAGAGGAAAGUGGAAUUCCCGGUGUAGCGGUGAAAUGCGCAGAUAUCGGGAGGAACACCUAUGGCGAAGGCAGCUCGCUGGGACGUAACUGACGCUGAGGAGCGAAAGCAUGGGGAGCGAACAGG
rnacentral:rRNA from 1 species